GACGAACGCUGACGGCGUGCUUAACACAUGCAAGUCGAACGGUGAAGCGCCUGCCUGUUUGGGGGGGGUGGAUGAGUGGCGAACGGGUGAGUAACACGUGAGUAACCGGCCCCCGUCUUCUGGAGAACCGCGUGAAAGUAUUGCUAAUACGGGAUAUUCGGGGUCUGUCGCAUGAUGGGUCUGGGAAAGAUAUUGUUUCGGUGGGGGAUGGGCUCGCGGACUAGCAGCUUGUUGGGGGGGUGAUGGCCUACCAAGGCGGUGACGGGUAGCCGGCCUGGGAGGGUGGACGAUACCAGUGGGGCUGAGAGGCGGCCCAGACUACGGGGGGAGGCAGCGGUGGGGAUUAGUGAACGAUGGGAGCAAGGCUGAAGCAGCGACGCGGCGUGAGAGAUGGAGGCCUUCGGGUUGUGCACCUCUUUCGGGAGAGAAGCCGGCGUGCCUCGUGUGUGGGUGGGUUGACGGUAGCUGGAUAAGAAGCGCCGGCUAACUACGUG
rnacentral:rRNA from 1 species